rfam:Schistosoma mansoni strain Puerto Rico chromosome 5, complete genome
AUCUAGCCGACGAGUCCCAAAUAGGACGAAACGCAAGUACUAGAU